AGAGUUUGAUCCUGGCUCAGGACGAACGCUGGCGGCACGCUUAACACAUGCAAGUCGAACGAGAGAAGAGGAGCUUGCUUUUCUGAUCUAGUGGCGGACGGGUGAGUAACACGUGAGCAAUCUGCCUUUCAGAGGGGGAUACCGAUUGGAAACGAUCGUUAAUACCGCAUAACAUAAUUGAACCGCAUGAUUUGAUUAUCAAAGAUUUAUCGCUGAAAGAUGAGCUCGCGUCUGAUUAGCUAGUUGGUAAGGUAACGGCUUACCAAGGCGACGAUCAGUAGCCGGACUGAGAGGUUGAUCGGCCACAUUGGGACUGAGACACGGCCCAGACUCCUACGGGAGGCAGCAGUGGGGAAUAUUGCACAAUGGAGGAAACUCUGAUGCAGCGAUGCCGCGUGAGGGAAGAAGGUUUUAGGAUUGUAAACCUCUGUCUUCAGGGACGAAAAAAGACGGUACCUGAGGAGGAAGCUCCGGCUAACUACGUGCCAGCAGCCGCGGUAAUACGUAGGGAGCGAGCGUUGUCCGGAAUUACUGGGUGUAAAGGGAGCGUAGGCGGGAUCGCAAGUCAGAUGUGAAAACUAUGGGCUUAACCCAUAAACUGCAUUUGAAACUGUGGUUCUUGAGUGAAGUAGAGGUAAGCGGAAUUCCUAGUGUAGCGGUGAAAUGCGUAGAUAUUAGGAGGAACAUCAGUGGCGAAGGCGGCUUACUGGGCUUUAACUGACGCUGAGGCUCGAAAGCGUGGGGAGCAAACAGGAUUAGAUACCCUGGUAGUCCACGCCGUAAACGAUGAUUACUAGGUGUGGGGGGACUGGCCCCUUCCGUGCCGCAGCAAACGCAAUAAGUAAUCCACCUGGGGAGUACGACCGCAAGGUUGAAACUCAAAGGAAUUGACGGGGGCCCGCACAAGCAGUGGAGUAUGUGGAUUAAUUCGAAGCAACGCGAAGAACCUUACCAGGUCUUGACAUCGUAUGCAUAGCUCAGAGAUGAGUGAAAUCUCUUCGGAGACAUAUAGACAGGUGGUGCAUGGUUGUCGUCAGCUCGUGUCGUGAGAUGUUGGGUUAAGUCCCGCAACGAGCGCAACCCUUACUGUUAGUUGCUACGCAAGAGCACUCUAGCAGGACUGCCGUUGACAAAACGGAGGAAGGUGGGGAUGACGUCAAAUCAUCAUGCCCCUUAUGACCUGGGCCUCACACGUACUACAAUGGCUGUCAACAGAGGGAAGCAAAGCCGCGAGGUGGAGCGAACCCCUAAAAGCAGUCUUAGUUCGGAUUGUAGGCUGCAACCCGCCUACAUGAAGUCGGAAUUGCUAGUAAUCGCAGAUCAGCAUGCUGCGGUGAAUACGUUCCCGGGCCUUGUACACACCGCCCGUCACGCCAUGGGAGUCGGUAACACCCGAAGCCUGUAGUCUAACCGCAAGGAGGACGCAGUCGAAGGUGGGAUUGAUGACUGGGGUGAAGUCGUAACAAGGUA
rnacentral:rRNA from 1 species